CAUCAAUUCAAUCCUCUGAAUUCGUUGGGAGAUGUUUUCGAAUUCUCUUUUGUUUGUUGAUUUUUUAUUCCAUUUGUUUUACGUAUUUGUUUGCGUCUCAUCAGAUUCUGUGAGGCUCUCUCUCUCUCUCUCUGAUCAUCUCUCUACCCCCUAUAUGAUUGUCCAUUGUAAUCGGUUUCUCUUUGAUGUUUUUCUUUGAACUUUGCUCUUUAAUUGCAUCUGACUUGAGCUUUCUGAUAUCUGGAACAAGCUUUGUGUAAUUUUAUAUUAGACAUGUAUUUGUUUUCUUAUCCGAAAGAAACACGAAAAGGUAUGGAAGCAUAACAUAAAUUUAUAAUUUGCAUAUGCAUCUACAUUUUAUCUCUUCUCAUUCUCUAUGGUAUUAGUUGAUGAGAAGGUACUUGCUAUUUCAAUUGAAGCUUCAACCUUUAUUGUGAUCACAUCUAGAGGUAAUUUAUCUUCGUCACAUCUGGUUGAUUUGUAUUGAUUCAUGAUUGCAGGCUAUCCUAAUUCAUGGCUCUAUUAGCUUGCAUAGUAUGAACACCUUCAAAACUCCUCAAAUAAGGAGCACUUAUGAGCACAGUGGCUUCAAAGUUACUAGGAGCAAUCAAAACUUCACACUGUCGGAGUUACCACUGUACCAGUUUGUAUUAGGUUCACCGAGCAAACAAGUUUUAUUUAGACAGCAUCAAUGGUCUGCCAUAUUCCAACGGAGAUGUUCCGGUUCCGUAAUUAUGACAGCUGAUGCUACUGGCCGACACUAACACAUAAGUACCAGUUAAAGUUAGGGGCAUAAAGACAACUUUGACUAAACACAGAGCACAUAACGUCUAAUGGUUCAGAGGGAAACAAUCGUGUGUCUGAGUGUAUUUGACGUCGUAGGCAACCUCCCCAAUAACAAAUUAGUUGCCUCUGGUGUGGAGCCAAAGGUCAUUCUCGCCACAAACAUCAAUCGCAAAUUGGUUGGAGAAAAUGUGACAGCUUUGUGGGAUCUUCCUAAACUCCCACAAAAUAUGGUGGAAUUCAGAAGCUACUGUCUGGUACCGUCUAAGGCUCUAAGCGUUUGAUGCAUGUCUCGCAUUCUGAGCCACCUGUACAGAUUCUAGACUCACCCCAACUUUCAUACAAUUUUCAAAAUUAGAGCAUUUUACGUACUGUCAUUGUAUACACUACACAGUCAGUGAAGUUAUUAUACACCAAUAACGUGAUACUCUUUAACAUUGCA